ACUUGGGCCAACUUCCGCUUCUUUCCCAGGCCAUAGCAAAGAGCUGGAUCGGAAGAGGAGCAGCCAGGUCUUGAAUAGGUGCCCAUAUGGGCUGCCGGCACUUCAGGCCAGGGCAUUAACCCGCUAUACCACAGCGCCGGCCCCUCAUUGCUUUUAAAAUAUGUCUUCGCCUUUACUUUUGAAGAGAUCAUUCUUUUGGAUAAUUUAUUGCUCACAUCACCUAGAAUUGUCCCACCCAGAGAUUCAUUUGUUGAAGUCCUAAUGUCUGGUACUUCAGAAUAUGACCUAUUUGGAGACACAGUCUCUAAAAAGGUGAAAUGAAUUCAUUAGUACUGGUGUCUUUGUAAGAAGAGGAAAUUAGGAGUUUACCUCACAGAGAAUAAAGAUCAGAUUGAGAUAGAGAAUUUGGCCACCCAUCAGCCAAGAAGAAAUGUCUUCAGAAUAGACCCUCUGCACUAACGCCUUCAUCUUGGACUUGUCGUCUCCAGAAUCCUGAGAAAAUAACUUUGUUGUUUAAGCUGCAAGCCUGUGGUGCUUUGUUAGGAGCCCUAGUGAAGAAAUUCAGAACCUUACACAUAAAGUGUUAUCAGUCUUAGAGGAGAGAUCCACAGAUUAGGAAGCUGAUGCAUAAAAAGCAAUUUGCCCAGGCCAGGGUCACACAGUUCCAGUUCCUUUCAGAAAUGUGGGUCCAAGAAUUUAGCUUACCCAAAGUAUCACAGUGAGCUUAAAGAAAGACUCAAAACUAGAAAAGUUCAACUCUGUCCUAUUUUGUACCAUAUAGUAUCAGAGUGCUCAGAAAACAUCACAUAGUACUGUUAGUGGAGUUAAAUAGGGUGAUUACUGAGUACCAACUGCCUACACAGCUUCUACUCCUUCUCUUUAUAAUAGAAUCCAAGUUUCUUUCGGGUGUCCCUUCUUCCUGUACCCAUGUGACUCAGAAGAAUCUUCUCAACUUCAGGAUUUAAUCUGAUUGGACUAAGUAUUAUUGCAUUCCCCCAGGUCUGUGAUUGGUUUGUGAAGUCAUGUGACCCAGCUCUGGCCAAUGAUGUGAUGAGAGUUCCAUUGGAGAAUUCAAAAUUCUGGCUUGCUCUUAAGAAUAAGCUAUUUCUCUCUCUCUCUCUCUCUCUCUCUCUCUCUCUCUCUCUCUCUUUCUCUCCUUCUCUCCUUCUCUCCUUCUCUCUUCAUUUCUCUCCCCCUCUUCUUUCUUCAGAUUUGAAUGAAGAUGGAUAAUCCACAAUUGACCCCAGGGCUAUAAAAGUCCGAAUGGUUUCCCUCUCACGUGAAGGAUCAUGGGAUGAACUCUGUGCAAUUUCUCCAAGCCAGUCCUGAAAUAGAAAACGCAUAAAGCAAGAUUUCAGCCUUAGAUGCUCCAUUCUGUACAUCACUGACUAAACAAAGCAUUCGACAGCACCCUUUGCAGCAGGAGAGAGGAAGAAAGAGAACAUCUGGCAUAUUUCUGGACCUGUAAGAAACUUUACCUGCUGUGAUGAAGGCAUUCUGAGCUUUGUUGUCUCUUAGUUGACACCUGGUGUAUUAUUAGUUGACCAUUACCACAACCACACUGUUGAAGAAAUUGCUCCACCUCUCAAUGGUGUGUCACAAAACAAAACUUCCUGAAAAAUGACUGUUGAAGGAAUAUGUUAAUAAUCUGGCAACAGCCCAAUUUAUACUGUGCAGCUUUAACCCAAGAAAGAGAAGAGUAAAUAUCAAACUCAAGCCUACAUCUUCUUCAUACCUGGAGGCCUUGGAGAGAACAGGAUUGGUCUUUUCUAUCUAUUAACACAAGGAUGUAAUACGCGGUGGUUGUGCCAUACUGCAAUUGCAUGAUGAAUGCAGGUACUCCAAUGCAGAAGGAAGCUGAAGACUUUAUGGAACACUUCAUGGAACAACGCUGUUAACGAAUUCAUGAUGGUGCAGUUCUCUGGGUUUAUGACAGAGGAAAAUGAAGAAGAGGCAGAAAUCCGGGAAAUACAACCUGAACGAGUCACUCUCUUGUGAUGCACUGCAGGAAAGAACAAGGAGCAGACAGUGUUUUCAUUAUCUGUGCUCAAUAAAGAUCUGCUGAAUGAAUUAAGGAAACCACACCAGGCAGAACAAGGUUUGCUGAUUAAUUCAACACUCCAGUCAAUCUAGCAUUUGGCAGAAUGGAAGGUUUCGAUCUGUAACAGACAUGCAUAUGUUAUAUGAGGAGAGCUUCAAAAAGUUUCUGGAAAAUGGCAUUAAAAGAUAGGUAAGUGUUUUGACACAAAAAUUAGAAAUCUAUGCAGGCUUUUUUUUCAAAAUAGGAAGUUUUCAUGGACUCUGAAGACCUCUUGUAUAGAUGAGAGGUCCUAUCUGGGGCUGAAACUGGAGAUAUGCAAUCUGCCUGCCUGCUCUCAGUUAGUGACGAGUCUAUACUUAAUCAGCCCUCUUUCUGGAGGACAUUUUAAACAUUAUUUAUGUAUUUAUUCAAAAGUCAGAGUGAGAGUGAGAGACUGGGAAAGUAACAUGGCCGGCGCCGCGGCUCACUAGGCUAAUCCUCCACCUAGUGGCGCCGGCACACCAGGUUCUAGUCCCGGUCCGGGAGCCAGAUUCUUUCCCGGUUGCCCCUCUUCCAGGCCAGCUCUCUGCUGUGGCCAGGGAGUACAGUGGAGGAUGGCCCAAGUGCUUGGGCCCUGCACCCCAUGGGAGACCAGGAGAAGCAACUGGCUCCUGCCAUUGGAUCAGCACGGUGCGCUGGCCGCAGUGCACCAGCUGUGGUGGCCAUUGGAGGGUGAACCAACGGCAAAGGAAGACCUUUCUCUCUGUCUCUCUCUCUCUCACUAUCCACUCUGCCUGUCAAAAAAAAAAAAAAGUGACAGAGACUAAGAUCUCUCAUCCACUCGCAUUCUACGAAUGCCUGCAAUACCAUGUCUGGGCCAGACUGAAUUUGGAGCUGGGAACUCAAUCCAGGUUUCCCACAUGAAUGGCAGGGGCCCAAGUACUUUGUC